rnacentral:misc_RNA from 1 species
UACGUAGGCAGCAAGCGUUGUUCGGAAUUACUGGGCGUAAAGCGAGUGUAGGCGGUUCACCAAGUCUGUUGUGAAAUCUCCCGGCUCAACUGGGAGGGUGCGGCGGAUACUGGUGGACUAGAGUGCGAGAGGGGAGAGUGGAAUUCCUGGUGUAGCGGUGAAAUGCGUAGAUAUCAGGAGGAACACCGGUGGUGAAGACGGCUCUCUGGAUCGCGACUGACGCUGAGACUCGAAAGCGUGGGGAGCAAACAGG